CCUACGGGUGGCUGCAGUGGGGAAUAUUGGACAAUGGGGGCAACUCUGAUCCAGCCAUGCCGCGUGAGUGAUGAAGGCCUUCGGGUUGUAAAGCUCUUUUGGCGGGGACGAUGAUGACGGUACCCGCAGAAUAAGCCCCGGCUAACUUCGUGCCAGCAGCCGCGGUAAGACGAAGGGGGCUAGCGUUGUUCGGAAUUACUGGGCGUAAAGCGAGUGUAGGUGGUUUUCCAAGUUGGAUGUGAAAGCCUUGAGCUCAACUCAAGAAAUGCAUUCAGGACUGGAGGACUAGAGGACCGGAGAGGAUAGUGGAAUUCCCAGUGUAGUGGUGAAAUACGUAGAGAUUGGGAAGAACACCAGUGGCGAAGGCGGCUAUCUGGACGGUUACUGACACUAAGACUCGAAAGCGUGGGGAGCAAACAGGAUUAGAUACCCCUGUAGUC
rnacentral:rRNA from 1 species